UCAAUAAGCGGAGGAAAAGAAACCAACAGGGAUUGCCUCAGUAACGGCGAGUGAAGCGGCAACAGCUCAAAUUUGAAAUCUGGCGUCCGCCCGAGUUGUAAUUUGCAGAGGAUGCUUCGGGGCCGCGGCCGAUCUAAGUCCUUUGGAACAGGGCGUCAUAGAGGGUGAGAAUCCCGUAUGUGACCGGCUGGCACCCCACACGUAGCUCCUUCGACGAGUCGAGUUGUUUGGGAAUGCAGCUCUAAAUGGGAGGUAAAUUUCUUCUAAAGCUAAAUACCGGCCAGAGACCGAUAGCGCACAAGUAGAGUGAUCGAAAGAUGAAAAGCACUUUGGAAAGAGAGUCAAACAGCACGUGAAAUUGUUGAAAGGGAAGCGCAUGCAACCAGACUUGUCGGCGGUGUUCCCCCGGUCUUCUGACCGGGUCACUCGCCGCCGGCAGGCCAGCAUCGUUUGCGACCGCCGGAGAAAGGCGUAGGGAAUGUGGCUCCUCGGAGUGUUAUAGCCCUGCGCACAAUACGGUGCGUCGCGAGCGAGGUCCGCGCUUCGGCUAGGAUGCUGGCGUAAUGGUCGUAUGCGGCCCGUCUUGAAACACGGACCAAGGAGUCUACCAUCUAUGCGAGUGUUCGGGUGUCAAACCCCUACGCGCAAUGAAAGUGAACGGAGGUGGGAACGCAAGUGCACCAUCGACCGAUCCUGAUGUCUUCGGAUGGAUUUGAGUAAGAGCAUAGCUGGUGGGACCCGAAAGAUGGUGAUCUUUACUUGAAUAGGGUGAAGCCAGAGGAAACUCUGGUGGAGGCUCGCAGCGGUUCUGACGUGCAAAUCGAUCGUCAAAUUUGGGUAAAGGGGCGAAAGACUAAUCGAACCAU
rnacentral:rRNA from 1 species